CGCACGGGUGAGUAACACGUAUCCAACCUGCCGUCUACUCUUGGACAGCCUUCUGAAAGGAAGAUUAAUACAAGAUGGCAUCAUGAGUCCGCAUGUUCACAUGAUUAAAGGUAUUCCGGUAGACGAUGGGGAUGCGUUCCAUUAGAUAGUAGGCGGGGUAACGGCCCACCUAGUCUUCGAUGGAUAGGGGUUCUGAGAGGAAAGUCCCCCACAUUGGAACUGAGACACGGUCCAA
rnacentral:rRNA from 1 species